GAGGAGGAAGAGGAAGAGGGGUGAGGGAGCGGAGGACAGCAGAGCGGAGAGCAUGGCUGCAGCGAGGAAGAGGAGAAUGAGGAGGCGACGAAGAACCCUGACUAUAACCAGACAGGGAGGAACCUUGGAGAGGUGGCCUUGGUGUUAUCAGGCUGAAUGCCACGGGUUGCCAUGGAAACCUUAAAGGAGAACAGCCGCCGCUCCGUCCAGACUGGCGACCUGUCCAGGUGACCCUGCCUCCAGGUGACCCCGCCUCCAGGUGACCCCGCCUCCAGGUGACCCC